GCCAUAUCACGUUGAAAAAACAAGUUUUCGUAUGAUCACCGAAGUUAAGUAAUGUCGAGCCUGGUCAGUAUCUAGAUGGGUGACCGGUUAGGAAUACUAGGUGCUGUAAU